rnacentral:rRNA from 1 species
UUGGUGUGAAUUGCAGAAUCCCGUGAACCAUCGAGUCUUUGAACGCAAGUUGCGCCCAAAGCCAUCCGGUUGAGGGCACGCCUGCCUGGGCGUCACG